UACACAAUUUAAUUCCCUUCAGCCCAAACAUUUCCCUCUAGAGCCCCAGCCCAAAGAAAAUCGGACCUGACCCACCAAAACAACCCACCCGUUUACCCUGAAUAUAAAACCCCCUUUAUAAUUUUUCCCUCAUUUUGAACCCUAAACCUAAGAAGUCAGAUAUGCUGCGCCCCUUUCUACUGUUCAUCUUCCCCAACUCUCAACUCGCCCUCAACUCACCAUUAAUUCACCCGAGUUCACUCAAAAUGGUCCCCCCCCUCCACGUCAUUUGAUUCCCAACGGUUUUGUCAGUAGGGAGUACGAAUUUUCUCUCCCAAAUAGCACAAUUUCGGAUUCAAAAGGACAAUUGUUGGACGAAUGGGAGCCGUGGACAGAUGAAAAUUGAUCCACGCCUUCCAUUUGUCCCAAAAAUUGUUGAAAAAUCAGAAGAUUUCGGAUAUUUUGAGCAGAAGAUUCGAGAAUUUUUUUAGGGUUAUAUAUAGGAGGUAAGGCUUCUUUUCCUGGGGGGGGGGGGGGAGGAAAAUAAAAGAAAAAGAAAAAAAAUCAGGAGAAAAAUCGGAAAAAUCUUCAGAAAAUUUAGUAGUGAAAUUUCUAGUGUUUAAAGCCUUUUCUUCUUCUGGAGCUUUUUUGGAUUCGGCAUCUUUUCAAAGACGAAAAUAUAAGCAUGGUUUUGGAUUGAAGAUUAAAUUGGAGUUUUUUUUAUUGCUCGGGUUUGGAGUUUUGGCACUAUUGGUUUUCUGUCCAAUUUUCUGUUGCAGUUUGGAUUUGUUUGGCUGAUCUAUUAAGCUGUUGAUACUAUCGCUGAAUUUCUUCUCCCAUUUCAGAGUUUCGUUCGAUAUUUUCAGUUGUUUUUUUGCUAAUAGGUAUGUUUCAACACCGUUGUAUUCAUCUUCUAUUUAAAUAAAGUCGUUGAUUUCUGGUUUGGUUUGCUGAAUGCUUGUGAUAGUAUGUCAACAUGAACUUAAAUAGACCUAUAUUAAACUAUUUAUGGAGUUAAGUACUAGAGUUUUGUUAGGUCAAGAUUUGAGGGCAAGCAUGAAGCCAACCACUGAGGAAAAGAAUUUUGGUCCCUGUUUAUUUUUAGAAGUCAAGUUCCUGUAUUUUUUAGUUUCUUUUACUGCAAAAAUAUUCCUUGUUCUACUGUUGACAUGUGAGAACAAUUGAAGUGAGUUUUGGUUGAGUCUGCUACAUCACGUGGUAGCAAAAUUGCAUUAGUUUGGUGCAACAAACAUUCCAUAGUUUUCUUAUUGUGCGCUAUGCACACUUAUGUGUAUUAGUUGGUCAAAUGGCCUAAUUUCCCUGGUCUGGUGAUUUCGCUUAAAUAUUUGGAUAAAUAUCAUGAAUUUGCUCGAAUAUAGUUGUUUUAUUGAGUGCAUGUAUUCGCUCUGUUCUUUUUCUGCAAAACUAGUAGUGUUCAAUUUCAAGUUUGGCCUUAAUAAAAAUGGCAUCAGAUUGGUAGCAAAAAUAGAUCACUUUGAGGAUUUCUACAAAAAUGGUAAUUUAACUUAGAUUUAUCAAUUGAAAAGGACGCUAUUAGGAGCAUUGAAUGAAAUUUGUCCUUUGGUUAAAGUUUUAGAACAGAACCAAGGCAUUCAUAUGAUGAACAAUCCAUAAAGUCAUGCUAUUUGGUAUUGUCUCACUGACAGCAAUAUGUAUGCAUUUAUUUGAUCUUGUACUUGCACCUCUCUUUUCGCACGACACAAUUACCAUGACACUUCAGCCUUGCAUCCAGAUGGAUUUUUGAAUUCCCAAAAGUUUUAAGUUUAUAAAGGUAAGAACCCCGUAGAAUCACAUUUGACACUAGACCUUCAUAUUUUUAUGUCACUAUUUCUAUUUUUCAAAUAGUCUUAUCUUUUUUUGGUAAGUGUAUCAAUCUGCUGCUCUGUAUAAUUUUUUCACUCUCUACUUUGAUAGAAGUUAGGUUCUUAAAUUUUGUACCCUGCUCCUUGGUUAUUGUCUCAGUCUUUUGUUCAUUGGAAUAGUUGAGACCGAAAAUUGUUCAAUUUUGGAAUGGCCAAUAUGUAUCAGUUCAUAGAUUUCAUGCCAACUCAAAUAAAAAGCAAUUUCAAUUGUUGUAAUUGUGUUUGGGAGUAUGACUCCACUUUGGAUGGGAGUCUGCCGAUCAGGUUUGAAGAUUGAAUGAGCUUGAGGCCCAAUAUUGUUAUUCAACAAUGUGGAGUUCAUUUGGACUCAUUGCCGUUCACAUGCAAGCUUCUAAAUUGGGCAUGUUAUUUUGGGCCCAUUCGCACCUCUUAUUUGAUUCAUCAAAUUCCACAAGACCAAAGAAAAACCUUUUUAAUAAUAAGUUAUAGUACUAAUGUUGCUAUUGACCAUUGAGUAGUGUAGUAAAGUAAUAAUUUAUUCGUUGAUCUUCUGCCUACAUAUAUAUGCCUAGAAAAGAAGUUGUACUGAUAAGCCUUGUUUGAAAAAUGUCGUAGUUUGCUUUAGGCUCGAUUUAGACUAGUAUCGUGAUUGGUUAUACGUUCACGUAACAUAAUUGCAAGUUUAAUUCUAAAAAUGACUCGAGGGAUGCGUUCGCGCAACUUCAACUAAACUUUUCUUAAUAAAAAAUAAACAAAGUGUUAUUAAUUGUGGACACGUUCGCGUGACAUGAUUUUAACGCGCCAAAGGAAAAGAGUAUACGUUCGCGUAACUCAAUUCUUUAAUUAUGAAUAAAUCAAGUGAUUAAAAGAGGGUAAAAAGAUAAUUUCACGUAGGUCCUAAAAAUGAAUAGUUAAAUAAUUUUAGCCAAGUAUAAAUCGCUAAGUGACCGUGCUAGAACCACGGAAUCCGAGAAUGCCUAACACCUUCUCCCGGGUUAACAGAAUUCCUUAUCUAGAAUUUCUGGUUCGCAGACUUUAAAAAAUAAAACUUCAUCGACUUGGAAUUUUCAAAUAAACCGGUGACUUGGGACACCAAUUAAAAUAUUCCAAGUGGCGACUCUGAUUAAAUAAUUUAAAUAAUCUCAUCUCGAAUAAUGUCACUUUAAUUGGAAAAACUCCAUUAUACCCCUCCUCGGGUGUGUGAAAAGGAGGUGUGACAGCUCUGGCGACUCUGCUGGGGAUCGAACCCAGAAUCUCUGGUUCAGGGUUCAAGAAUUCGAGCUUGUUAAGGCAAUUUUUAUUUGGCUUUAUUACUGAUAUUACUGUAUUUUAUGGACUCAAUGUGCUAAUUGUCAUUUGUCGCUUUGAUAUUACUUGAACUGUAUUUAAAUGUCUUCUUGCGCCACCCAUCUGAGUCUUCUGAAAAUGGUGCACACGUUCACGUGGCCCGCUUUUUCUGUAGAAAUUAUAACAAAUAGAUCGAGGCUGGGCCAACAACAAGGACGGGUAGACUUUAGUGCUCCCGGUACGUUUCCCCCUCUUCGGCCCCAGUUGUCCGCUCGGGUAACCCAAGUCUAGACCACAAACCCCAAGUUUUUAACUUAGAAUAAUGCAACCUCAUGCCGGAUCCCUAGUAGGAACGUUUAUUUGCAUCACGUGCAUUUGACCUUGGGGACUCAACACAGGGGUUGGGUCCGUCUAGGAUAGGUGUACCCAAAAUAAAGACCAUCCUGAUGCAUCCUACGUGCUAUGUGAAUAUUCAUUUAUUUCGGGUUGCAUGUUGACCGGUUAAUAAAGAGAAAAAACCAAGAGUGAGGUAGGAUAGAGAAUUUACCUGGUUUCUAAAAAUCCUGGUAUUUUAAAAUAUUCCGAAACUCUGCCGAAUUUUGAAAAAAAAAAAGAGAAAAAGGAAAACAUAUUUCAAAAAAGAGUAAGUCAAAUAUCAUGUUUUUAUGUCAAAAUUGCCCGAACUACGCAGGUCUGAUUCUCGCCGGAUGUGGGAUACGUAGGCAACCCACAUAAGGUUCGACCUCAUUUUUACCAAAUAAUAAAAUAAAAAGGUGUUUCAGGGCUUUGGUCAAAACAAUAUGCCGACCCAGCUUCGGUUGUACUUAAGUCAUUUCUCCCCGGAAUAGCUUUAGAUUGCAUUCCAAUUGUCGAAAGGCUAUUUUCGAGAGGAACAGGCAUAAGGUGUCUUUUCCAAUAAAAUACCUACCCCCGACCUCAAAAUUCAUUUGGAAUUGUGAAGGGUGCCACGUUUGCAAAAAUGACCAUUUUGCUAACAUAGCAAUAAAAGGGGUCCUUGUCCGUUGAUUUUUUUUAAAACUUAUUUUGCAAAAAGAGUCCACAAGAGUCAACCCUAACCUUAACCCUCCACAGGUACAAAUGAAUACCGUCCAGGAAUUAUCGCAAUCUGUCAUAGAAAGGGCUCGGAUGCAGCUACGUAAGUGAUGGGGUGAUUUAGAUGAAGAUGACCAACUUUGGGUAAAAGAGCAUUUGGGUUCCCUGGUAGACAUCAUGCAUGUCAAACCACAGGAGGAUUUAAUUAAGGCCUUGGUGAACUUUUGGGAUCCCGUUCAAAAUGUGUUCCAUUUCUCGAAUUUUGAACUCACACCCACUCUGGAAGAAAUAGCCGGGUACAUCGAUUUCGGCCAAGAGUUAAGAAAGCAACAACUAAUAUUCCCCAGGGCUCCCUCAGGACACAAAUUCUUCGAUCUUUUGAAAAUUAGCAAACAAAUGAGCAAGGACCGUGUAAGCAAAGGGAGUUGUUCGUUCUACUUCCUGUAUUUCAGGUUUGGACACUCAGCCGAGUUUGAAACACAUGAGAAGGGGUUGAAUAACAAACAGGACAAAAGCAUAUGGCAAAUUCAUCGACGGUUUGCUUUCAUCGUGGAAUUUAUGGGAAUCAUGGUAUUUCCGAAUUCUGAGGGUAUAAUUGACCUUCGUAUGGCCAGAAUCGCACAGGUCCUCGUCGACAAAAAAGAUCACACACUUGUCCCAUUAGUGUUGGCGGACAUUUACCGGGCAUUAACAUUGUGCAAAUCUGGGGGGUCAAUUUUUCGAAGGCUGCGAUAUUCUUCUUCAGAUGUGGAUGAUCGAGCACCUUCGCCGCCAUCCUAAGUUCAUGAGAUAUACUUCAGAUGGGAACAAUUUCAUCAAAAAGUAUGAGGAAAGGGUGGAAGAUUACAAACCACCUGAAGGGUUUGAAGCAUGGGUUUCCUAUUUGAGGAAAUUGAGAGCAGAUCAAAUUGAAUGGACCAUAGGAUGGCUCCCAGUAAUAGAAAUCAUCUACAUGACCUCUUCAAAGGGCUACUUGAUGAUAAUGGGAGCGAGAAGUAUACAACCAUAUGCACCACAAAGAGUUCUGAGACAACUGGGAAGAUAUCAGGUGAUACCCGAAGAGGCAGACCUAAGCACUCAAGUUAUUGAACUACACCCAGAAGCAACGAUACCCGAGGCUUUAGUUCAAAGAGGCUGGAAUUGUUGUCGGUAUCUAACAAUUAACACCCAAGUGCCAGACCCAGCUAAGGGCGAAGCUGAUCCCAAUUAUGUGGCUUGGUUUGAAAGGAGUUUUUAUGUGUACAAUGAGCCGGAGCCCGAGCCCGAACCCGUGAGGCCCGCCAAAAGGCCCCAUGUUCAAGCUUUUGAUGACAAAAUUCAGGAAAGGUUAGCUUGGGGAGAAAAGGAAAAGGAAUAUCAGGCCACCAUCCAUGAUCUGCGAGAAGAGUUGAGAAAUGUCACCUUCAACAAUGAUUUACAGGCACAAGAGGCCGAGGGUGAGAGGAGAAGAUUGGUUCGAGAAAAUGAAGCUCUCAGGGUCCAGGUUCGACAGCUGAAAAUAGCAGCCGAGAAUCCGGGCCGAAGCAGGAAAGAUGAAAGGUUCAUUUAUAACCUUACUCAAAAGGUGUGUGACUAUGAAGAUGACCUGCAGAAAGCUGAGUCUGAACUAGCAAAAACACGAACAAGGUUGGCUAAAAAUGCCGAAGGGCAUGCAACUUUCGUUCAACAGAUGAAAGAAAGAUAUGAAAGAGGGGUCACAGGGUGGGAAAAGGCGAUUGGAAACCUCGAAGGUGAAAUGGCUAAACAAGCCAAAAAUUUUAAGGCCGAGAGAGAACAUUGUUACGCCUUAAUGGUAUGGUUGGAAGAGGACUUACAGCACUUGCAAGAGCAAAAUCACGCUGCCACUCAAGUCUUAGAGGCUAGAUCCCGUCAGAUUGGCCGUUUGUUGCAAGAGAAGGAUAUCAUAAGAGAGAGGGUUCGAAGGAUUGCUGACUACAUCACCAUGAAAUGCAGUGCGUGUGAGGACAUGACAAGAUCCAUGUUUUUCGCCACUGUAAUGAUCUUCGUCCGUCAGAUAAUGGAAGAACUCUAUCGACUCCAAGAUGACAUGGCAAGUAGGCCCGCUGCAAGACCGGUUGGUAUUCCUAGGGCAGGGUUGGACCCACUGAUGUUUUCUUGAUUGUAUUUUCUUCCUUUUUCCGAGUUUAUAUUUUUCAUAUUUCGAGUCUGUUUUUAAUUCCUAGAAAAGGCAUGUCCUGAGUCUUAAAGUCCUAGAAAAGGCAUGUCCCGAGUCUUAAAGUCCUAGAAAAGGUAUGUUCUGAGUCUUUUGUAAUUCAGUAAAGUUGUAUUAAUGAAAAUUUGAAAAAACAAAAACCAAAAAUUGUCCUUUUAUUUUUCGAUUUACUUCUUGAACUACGUUAUGAUCUGAUUCUCGCGGCGUCGUGAUACGUAGGCAAUCCUCAUCGGAUCCGGUCAUGAUCUUUUUAAAAAAAGAGGGAAAGAACCGUAAGAAAAGCCAAAAAAAAAGAAAGAAAAGAGAGUAAAAAAAAAACCAAAAACAGAAAAAGGAGAGAAAGGAAAGAGAAGAGAGGAAAAUAAGGAAUAACUGAUGAGGCAAGAAGAGAAAAUUGGGGAAAAUAAGCAAAACUGGGAUGAAACAUGCAACCGUUGCGAAACAUGUAGAAACACGUUUAAAUGUAUAGGUGCAUCACACCCCAACGUGCGAUUACCUAUGUGUUAUGUGUUUCAAACUAACCAGUUGGUUGUCUACUGUCAAGAAUAGGUUCUAUAGUAAGGUGGUUGGUUUUGUGGUAGUCUGUCUUCGCAUCCAUACUUCAUGAGGUCGAAAAGUAGCGUUGACAUGUCUUCAGAAAUCACUCUGCCAACAGUUCCUAUCGCAGAUGAGAGUCCGAUCUCGGGCAUCCCGACUUCAGAAUCGGCAUCUGCUGAGGAAAACAGGUUAUUGCGUCUCCGCAUGAUGGAAAUGUGGGAAGCAUGGUCAAACGGAAGAGAGCCACCAAGUGCAAUCCCUGGAUUUCCCGAGCUUUUUCCUAGGGUGGGUGGAGCCUCCAAUAUCCCGACCAGUCACCCCAAUACCCCACUCAAACAUCCUACCAUCUUGACCCACUUUGUUGGAACACCUUCUGAGGUUCGCCCCCAGGUGUUAGCUUCAGGAGCGGCUUCAAGUAUCUUCACUGCCCUCCAUGCUCAGCUACUACACAUCCUACACUGCCCAGGCCCAACUUUGACCCAUCAUCCUUCACCUUCCAAACAUCAUCUUUCCCACUGGAACCUGCACAUUUUCCCACCUAUACUUACUCUCAACCACCCCGGUAUGAGUUCACCGCAGGGCAAGAAAAGACCACCAAAACUCCUGAGCAAAAAGAGAUUGCAAGAAAGAUUAGGAGUAUGGAACAGAGUCUCAAAAGCAUACAAGGCUUGAGUGGACAGAAAAGUGUGUCCUAUGCCGACUUAUGUAUGUUUCCUCAUGUGCAUCUACCAUUGGGAUUCAAAACCCCAAAAUUUGAGAAGUAUGAUGGGCACGACGAUCCUAUUGCUCAUCUCAAGAGGUAUUGCAACCAGCUGUGAGGAGCCGGUGGAAAGGAAGAACUCCUCAUGGCCUAUUUCGGAGAAAGUUUGGUGGAAAUCGCAUCUGAGUGGUACAUGGACCAAGAUAUAUCCCGAUGGCACAUCUGGAAUGAUCUUGGUAGAGAUUUCGUCAGGCAGUUCCAGUACAACAUUGAUAUUGCUCUAGAUCGGAACUCAUUGACAAACCUGAAGAAGAAAUCCUCGGAAAGCUUCCGAGAGUACGCAAUUAAGUGACGUGAGCAGGCCUCCAAGGUAAAGCCUCCGAUGGAUGAGGUUGAAAUGGACACAGUUUUCCUCCAAGCUCAGGAAGCUGACUACUUCCAAAUAUGAUGUCCGUAAUGGGCAAACCAUUCGCUGAAGCCAUCAAGAUUGGUGAAAUGGUUGAAAAUGGGUUGAAAACGGGUCGAAUUCUAAGCCAAUAUGCUAUCAGAGCCACCUCCCAGGCCAUUCAGGGUGGAUCUGGAGGAGUAGCGAAGGGCAAGAAAAAGGAAGAAACAUCCAUGGCAGCAUCGGUUGCAAGAAAACACCGUACUCCCAGAUCCCUUUUCUCAGAAAGAACCCCACAACACUACUACCCCCACCAAGUUGUGGCCUAUGCUCCUCAGCCAUUCCCGGUCAUGAAUGCUCAACCUUAUAUCCGGCCACAACAACAAGUCAAUCGGAACCAAGCUCCAUUUCCCAGAAACCAGCCUCCUUACCAAGCCCACUACAAUCCCUGACCUCCACAAAACAACUUCCGUGCCCGGGAGCCACCAAGGAAAUCAAACUUCACUCCAAUUAACGAGUCUUAUUCUAACCUAUUCCCAAAAUUGGUCCAAAUGGGUUUGUUGCAGCCCGUACCCCCGAAUAGGCAAAACCCAUAAUCACCCUCUUACCAACGUGGCACCCGAUGCGCUUAUCACUCAGGGGCUGAGGGGCAUGAUACAGAAAAUUGUUGGACUUUGAAAAGAGCUGUGGAAGAUUUGAUAGAACAAAGGAAGAUAGUGCUAAGGGAUGAAGAUAUUCCUAUCGUGACUAACAACCCACUGUCGGCCCACAACAAUGGGCCAGUAAUCGGAAUGAUUUGUGAGGAUAAGGAAUUUGACCCAGCGUUGAAGGCCAUCAUUGCCAUCGCUGAUAUAGAAAAGAAAUCAAAAUCUGCCCCGAAGCAAGACAAAGGGGAGAAAAAGAACAAAACUACCCCUCCAAAGUCAGAGAAGAAAAUUGAAGUUGAAACUGAGGCAACGCCUCCCAAAGAUGUUGUUCUCUAUGUCCCUCGAGGUUGCAAAGAAAAGCAGAUGACUUUGAGUCCUUCCAAGAUAUACAAACUGAACAAGACAACCCAAAUAUAUGUGCCCAAGGGAGCUUGUGUGAUGCGGGGGCCAAUUAAUCCUCCAAGGCUGAGUGAGCCCGUGGUUAUUGGCCGCGCACCGCAAAAGCCCAUGACGGAUCCUACCGCUGUGCCCUGGAAUUACAACAAAAUGGUGGUGACCUAUAAGGGCAAAGAAAUCUGAGGAGAAGUCCAAGAAAAUAACCUCGUUGAAAAGUAUUCUAACUUGGAAGAGGUGAACAAUGCCACUCGAAAAUGCUUCCCAUCUAAGAAGCCCGUGAGCGCCGAAGAAGCCGAGACUUUCUUUCAAAAGAUGAAAAUGGCAGAUUAUGAGGUGAUCGACCAGCUUCGAAAAUUUCCCGAACAAGUCUCCUUGUUGGAUUUGUUGAUAAACUCCCCCAAACAUUAGAAGGUAUUGAUCAAGACCCUUAACGAAGCAUAUGUUCCUAUUGAAACUUCUAUAGAACAGUUGGAGAGGAUGGCAGAAAGGUUUUUCUCAACUAACCAGAUUUCCUUCAGCAAAAAUGACUUACCUCCAGAAGGGGCCGCGCAUAACAAAGCCCUGCACCUGACAGUCAAAUGCGAAGGGUACUAUGUGAAAAGGGUUAUGUUGGACGGAGGCUCUAAGGUAGACAUCUACCCACUCUCGACUCUACAGCGCAUGGAAAUUGGGACUGAAAGAAUUCGACCCAAUAAUGUCUGUGUACGGGUUUUAGAUGGUAUAAAAAGGGACACGAUUGGAGAGAUUGAUCUGAUUCUGACUAUCGGCCCAGUAGACUUUGAAGUAACCUUCCAGGUGUUGGACAUGGACACAUCCUACAAUUUUCUUUUGGGGAGGCCAUGGAUUCAUGCAGCAGGGGCCGUACCCUCUACCCUCCAUCUGAUGGUAAAAUUUGAGCAUGAAGAUCAAGAGAUUGUGGUCCACGGGGAAGACGAGCAAUCAAUUUAUCGGGACCCGUCAGUCCCAUGUCUUGAAGCAAGAGAGGGGAGUGAGCACAUAGUUUAUCAAGCCUUUGAAAUUGUGGUCGCAGACCAGUACGAAGAAGGAAACCCUUGCCCUCAACCCUUUCUUUCUAAUGCAUCAAUCAUGGUGGCCAAAGAAAUGAUCAAACAUGGUUUCAAAUUAGGGAAGGGGCUCGGGAAAUCAUUGCAAGGAAUAAUUGAACCUGUUACCCUGACAGCCAGUGAAAAGUUCUUUGGGAUAGGCUUCCGACUCACUCCAGAUGAUGUAAAAUGGGCAAAUGAUAGAAAGAAUGAUGGUUGGGUCUUGCCUCAGCCGGUGUCGCAUCUGUACAGAACAUUUGUCAAGCCAAAAUACCAUGAGGAGGAAGAAAAUGAGGCCUUCACAGCCGAAGAGACUGAAGAGAUAUGUGGGGCAAUGAGGAAGAUACUGUAUGAAGCCCACAUGGUUCAACCAGGGGAAGGCUCGAGCACCGCUGAGGUGCUGUAUAUGGGACCUAAUGCCAAGCUUCAGAAUUGGAAGGCUACGCCAUUCCCGAUCAGGCAGGAGUUCCGGUAGACCUGUCCUGCCUCCUUUUCUGCAUCACGAGUUAUUUCAGGGUGUAACUCGGAUAUUUUCUUUAGUUUCUUGUCUUUUAAUUUUCCAAUGUAAACCCUGUUAUCUCCAAAUUUCACAAAAUGAAGUCAAUAUUUCAUCGUUUAUCUUUCUUUAUUCUUUCUGAUUUUGUUAUUUUUUUUAUUUCUUCUUUUAGUUCUAAUAAUGCGGCUUUAAAUAACAUGACAUGCUUGCUGACUUCAUGCCCAGAUCCAAACAUGCUGUCUAAUUGUGAAAUAAUGAACCAGGAACCGGAAUACGAUGAAGAGGAGGCUUUUAGGGAAAUAAAUCGAGAAUUGGAACAAUUUGAGAAUAAACCUAAGCCGAACUUAAAUGAUACUAAACUGGUUAAUUUGGGUAGUUCUGAAGAAGUCAGAGAAACCAAGAUAAGCAUUUUCACAAGCGAAAAAACUCGAGACGCAUUAAUCCAACUCCUGCUUCAGUUCAAAGAUGUGUUUGCUUGGUCAUACAAUGACAUGCCAGGGCUAAGUGUUGAUUUGGUGGUUCACAAGUUGCCAACAUACCCCGAUUGUCCCCCAGUCCAGCAAAAGCAAAGAAAGUUCAAAACUGAUGUUAGUGACAAGAUCAAAGAAAAGGUCACGGAGCAGUUGAAAGCAGGGGUGAUCUGAGUGGUCCGGUACACCACCUGGUUAGCUAAUGUAGUUCAGUGCCAAAGAAAGACGGGAAGACUCGGGUGUGUGUGGAUUACAAAGAUUUAAACAAGUUAAGUCCCAAAGAUAACUUCCCUUUGCCAAACAUCCAUAUCCUUGUUGAUAACUACGCCAAGCAUGAGAUACAGUCCUUCGUGGAUUGUUACGCAGGAUAUCAUCAGGUGUUGAUGGAUGAAGAAGAUGCAGAGAAGACAGCUUUUACCACACCGUGGGGUACAUACUGUUACAAAGUCAUGCCAUUUGGUCUCAAGAACACCGGGGCAACCUAUAUGAGAGCCAUGACAGCCAUUUUUCAUGAUAUGAUGCACUAAGAGAUAGAGGUGUAUGUGGACGAGUAAUCAUCAAAUCCAAAACCCAGGACGACCACGUUCGGGACUUGAGAAAGUUUAUUGAGCGGUUGCGCAAAUAUGAUUUGAAACUGAACCCAGCCAAAUGUGCAUUUGGGGUACCAUCCAGCAAACUCUUGGGAUUUAUCGUUAUUCGGAGGGGCAUCGAGUUAGACCCAACAAAGAUAAAGUCUAUUCGAGAUUUGCCUCCUCCAAAAACCAAGAAGGAUGUUAUGAGUCUGUUGGGUAGAUUGAACUACAUCAGUCGAUUCAUUGCCCAACUGACAUCCACAUGUGAACCUAUAUUCAAAUUGCUGAAGAAAGACGCAGCAGUCAAGUGGACAGAUGAAUGUCAAGGAGCUUUUGAUAAAAUCAAGGAAUAUUUGUCGAAUCCGCCAGUCUUGGUCCCACCUGAGCCAGGGAGGCCCUUGUUCUUGUACCUAACAGUCUUGGAAAAUUCUUUCAGUUGCGUCCUCGGGCAAUACGAUGUGACCGGAAAGAGAGAGCAGGCUAUUUACUAUCUGAGCAAGAAGUUCACCAGUUAUGAAGCCAAGUACACUUUGUUGGAAAGGACCUGCUGCGCUUUGACUUGGGUCACUCAGAAGCUGAGGCAUUACUUGCAAGCCUACACCACUUACCUCAUAACCAGGUUGGAUCCUUUAAAAUACAUAUUCCAGAAGCCGAUGCCCACUAGGAGGCUAGCAAAGUGGCAGAUCCUGCUUACGGAAUUCGACAUAGUAUAUGUCACUCGCACGACAAUGAAAGCCCAGACGUUAACAGACCAUUUGGCUGAAAAUCCGGUCGAUGAUAAAUACCAGCCUUUAAAUACUUACUUCCCAGAUGAAGAGGUAACUCGGUUGAGGCAAUAUCCGAAGACAUCAAUGCUUGGAAAAUGUUUUUCGAUGGAGCGGUAAACGCAAAAGGUGUUGGAAUUGGGGCAAUCUUGAUCUCGCCUACCGGCCAGCAUUAUCCGCCCACAGCUAGGCUCCGGUUUUUCUGCACAAACAACAUUGCCGAGUACGAAGCUUGCAUUAUGGGUAUGAACAUGGCAAUCGACCAAGAUGUCGAAGAACUGGUAAUCAUGGGAGACUCAGAUUUAAUUAUCCGGCAAGCUCAGGGAGAAUGGGAAACCCGAGACGUCAAGCUUAUUCCUUAUAGGCAACAUGUGGAAGAACUUGGCAAAUGAUUCAAGUCAAUAGAGUUCAAGUACAUUCCUCGCUGCCACAAUGAACUAGCUGAUGCACUUGCCACUUUAGCCUCAAUGCUGCCAUACCCAAGCAAUGCCCACAUUGAUCCCUUGGAAAUUCAAAUUCGGGAAAGGCAUGGUUAUUGUAACACGGUUGAAACAACACCAAAUACCCAGCCAUGGUAUCAUGACAUCAAAAGGUUUUUAAAAACACAAGAAUACCCUGAGCAAGCCAGUGGAGACCGAAAGAGAACCAUUAGGCGGCACGCGAGUGGUUUCUUUUUGAGUGCUGACAUCUUGUACAAAAGAACUCCGGACCUCAACUUGUUAAGAUGUGUUGAUGCAGAGGAGGCUAGAAGAAUCAUGCAUGAGGUACACGUGGGAGUAUGCGGACCCCACAUGAAUGGGUACGUUUUAGCAAAGAAAAUCCUUCGAGCAGGCUAUUACUGGAUAACCAUGGAAAAGGACUGCUUUAGUUUUGUCCGGAAGUGUCAUCAGUGUCAUGUGCACGGUUAUUUGAUUCAUGCACCUCCCACAGAAUUGCAUCCCAUGUCAGCACCUUGGCCAUUUGUUCCUUGGGGUAUGGACAUCAUCGGGCCAAUCGAGCCGAAAGCCUCAAAUGGGCACCGUUUCAUACUAGUUUCCAUUGACUACUUCACGAAGUGGGUUGAAGCCAUCACUCUCAAAUCCGUCACCAAGAAAGCUAUGGUAGAUUUCGUGCACUCCAAUCUUAUCUGCCGUUUUGGCAUUCCUGCAACUAUUAUCACAAACAAUGCUGCAAACUUGAAUAGUCAUUUGAUGGAAGAGAUAUGCGAACAAUUCAAGAUAACGCAUCGGAAUUCUACUCCUUAUCGACCCAAAGCCAAUGGUGAUGUCGAAGAAGCAAACAAAAACAUCAAAAAGAUUUUGAGAAAGAUGAUUCAGAGUUCCAAGCAGUGGCAUGAAAAGUUGCCAUUUGCAUUGUUGGGAUAUCGCACUACUGUGCGCACACCAAUCGGAGCCACCCCGUAUCUUUUGGUUUAUGGUACUAAAGCCGUAAUACCUGCAGAGGUUGAAAUCCCCUCUCUCUGGAUCAUUGUUGAAGCUGAAAUUGAAGACAAUGAGUGGGUUAAAACCCGUCUGGAACAGUUAACCUUGAUCGAUGAAAAGCGAAUGGUCGCGGUCUGCCACGGGCAGUUGUACCAACAAAGAAUGGCCCGUGCCUACAACAAGAAAGUGCGGCCUAGAAAUUUUGAAGUGGGGCAACUCGUUUUAAGGCGUAUUCUUCCCCAUCACCAGGAAGCAAAAGGAAAAUUUGCUCCUAAUUGGAAAGGCCCAUACAUCAUCAGAAAGAUAUUGCCGAGAGGAGCAUUGUAUCUGGGCGAUAUCGAAGGAAAUGAUCCCGAAGCAGCUAUAAAUGCGGAUGCAGUCAAAAGGUACUAUGUUUAGUCUUUCUGCAGUGACAACAUUGUCCGAUUGGGAUGACGAAGGCUUUCAUUCUCACUACCCAAACACUAUCUACCCUUUGAAAACCCCUUUGAGACGGUUACUCUUCUUUGAUUACCCUCUUUGGAACCGGAAAGUGUUAUUGAAAAACGAAAUGAAAAAAAAAGAAGAAAAAAACAACAAAAAAAGAAGAGGAAAACAAAAACAACAAAACAAAAUAAAGUUCCUGAACUACGUUCGACUUGAUUCUGAAAGGAUACAUAGGCAGCUUCUCUCUGGGGUUCAGUCAUACCAAAACAAAAAUCCAGUUUCCCCCAAAAGUGAAACUAGGGCAGAUGUUAUAAUGAUUCGGCGAUGAUCCCACCCGAACAGUUCCAAAGUUGUAAUUCGAUCCAAGUUCUUUUUACCCAAACCUGGUUCAAGUCCUUCCGAUCAAUUGGCAAAAGGUUUUUCAAAUCGGAGAACGUAGUUGUUUGGAUCCGAUGCAAUCAAGAUGAGAGAAAUAAAAUGAGAGAAUCUUAUUGGUGAAACCUUACGGGCACCCUAAGGCGACGGUGAGCAGAGAAAUCGAAAAUGAGAGAGUCAUGUUAGUGAAAACUCGCAGAGAGUACUAAAAGGCAACAGUGAGAAGAGAAAUGAGAGAGGUCGAUUGGCAAAAACCUGCAAAAGGCGCCGUUGAUUGAAAAGGAGAAUCCCUCAUCACCAUUGGGAUUGAAAGAGUCCUGGCAAGGUUUCUUGGUUUCAGAACACAGGUCGCAAUGAGUUUAUUAGAAGUUGAAUGGUUAUGCAGAUCGGGCAUCCAGUCCAAGAAGCAUGUCAUGCCUAUUGAAGUCCGUAUGCACCUCAAAUAAGUCCUUCUUUCCUCCCCUAAAAGGACACUUCCCUUUAAAAUUCAUUUCUUGUCCUUUACUUUUCCUUGAAUCCCUUUCGGUCAAACUCUGUUUCCAAAAUUAAUACAAAGAAAAGAUGGCAAGAUUGGUUUUACCGGGUUCUACUUAAUAAAGGCCAAAUCCAAAGAAAGCACCCAGCUUCAGCGAGUGCAUCAAGUCGACCCUGACAGGUCAUGAUGGCCGAUGCUCUGAAAUCCAAAGGUAUUGAAAAUGAAAUGAAGCCAAGUCAAAAUCCCGUAGAAGCAGAAUAAAGUGAAAGGACCAAAGCCCAAUGCGGGCGAGCCGUCACGAUAAAUUUUUGAAAAGUUGAGUCCCUCGGUUUAGGAAAGAGAUCAAUCUUCAGAAAGGCCAGCAAGCAGCAGAGGUUCUCACCAAAAGUUGGGUCGAGAUCGAGUGAUCAAAACCGCCAAGGCCACAAAACCAACCAUCGUUUCAAACUAACAAUUGUUCUUUGUUUGAAAUAGGAAACGGUGCAAUCCAAAUCAACCGUGCAAAAAGCAGGUGCAACCAAAAGGAAAUGCGCACGAGCUAAAAACAGCUUUGCAGCAAUAAUCAAUCCAAAAAGGAAGUCUCCUUCAAAUUCUUUCCUGCAUACUUACACGUGUUAAAAAAAAGGGCUUCCCCGGUAUAACCCAAGGACCUUUUUCUUUAUCCCGGCANNNNNNNNNNNNNNNNNNNNNNNCCCGGCAUAACCCGUGGACCUCCCUGGUCAUAACCCGAGGACCUUUUUUCUUUUCUCCAGGCAUAGCCCGAGGACCUUUUUCUUUUCUUCCGGCAUAACCCGAUGACUUCCCCGGCAUAACCCGAGGACCCAUUUUCUUUUCCGGCAUAACCCGGUCAUCUUUCCAACAUAACCUGGCAAUCUUCCCAAUUUAGGGCUUCACUCCCUACUCCCAAGGGUACACAAUCCUAAUUUUUACUGCUUUCAAUGAAAAAUAGUUUAGAUUUUUGUUGCAAAUAACUCGCGAAAUUUUCCUAGUGAAAACUGGGGCAGAAAAAUUUCGUUCGUUUGUUUGUUUUGGUGUUUGAGCAGGUUUGCUCUUGAGGCACAAGAUUCGAGAUGACCAAAAGAAUGAGUCUCAAUCCAAAAAUAAAGAAAAGAAGAAAAGGAACAAAAAGAAAUGAAUUCAAAAGGUUGAAGCGGAGAAAGAUGCACACUGCUCAAUAUAUGAUUGAAGUCACAAGUUUCGCAUGUCCCGCCUUGAUCCAAAGCUGAAGAAAGAACCAACACCUACAGCUGACGAGCAUCAAGAUUCAGAUCGGAGUCCACAGCAAGAACCAACUAAGACUCAAGAUCAAGCUUUAUGAGAUUUAUAGAUAGGAAUCUUGUAACUCAUAGUUGAUAGGCUUAGCUAGUUUAGCUUUUUAUUUUCCAUUUUUUGGUGUAAUAAGGAGUUCCGCAAGCAGUAGCAGCAGCAACAACAGUGAAAUCACAGUUUUUCAAUAUGUUUUUAAUUUUAGGAUUUCUAAUUUAAAAAAAAAAGAUUAAAAGAAAAGGAAAUUAAAGGAAGAAUUGGAGAAGGGGCUCAUUUAUAAAACUUGGGCCAGUUUUGCAUACAAAUUCGGCCAACUGUUCCCCCUACACAAUUUAAUUCCCUUCAGCCCAAACAUUUCCCUCUAGAGCCCCAUCCCAAAGAAAAUCGGACCUGACCCACCAAAACAACCCACCCGUUUACCCUGAAUAUAAAACCUCCUUUAUAAUUUUCCCCCAUUUUGAACCCCAAACCUAAGAAGUCAGAUAUGCUGCGCCCCUUUCUACUGUUCAUCUUCCCCAACUCUCAACUCGCCCUCAACUCACCAUUAAUUCACCCGAGUUCACUCAAAAUGGUCCCCCCCUCCACGUCAUUUGAUUCCCAACGGUUUUGUCAGUAGGGAGUACGAAUUUUCUCUCCCAAAUAGCACGAUUUCGGAUUCAAAAGGACAAUUGUUGGACGAAUGAGAGCGUGGAUAGAUGAAAAUCGAUCCAUGCCUUCCAUUUGUCCUAAAAAUUGUUCAAAAAUCAGAAGAUUUGAGAAUUUUCGAGGGUUAUAUAUAGGAGGUAAGUCUUCUUUUUCUGGGGGGGGGGGGUGAAGGAAAAUAAAAGAAAAAGAAAAAAAUCAGGAGAAAAAUCGGAAAAAUCUUCAAAAAUUUAGUAGUGAAAUUUCUAGUGUUUAAAGCCUUUUCUUCUUCUGGAGCUUUUUCGGAUUUAGCAUCUUUUCAAAGACGAAAAUAUGAGCAUGGUUUUGGAUUGAAGAUUAAAUUGGAGUUUUUUUUAUUGCUGGGGUUUGGAGUUUUGGCACUAUUGGUUUUCUGUCCAAUUUUCUGUUGCAGUUUGGAUUUGUUUGGCUGAUCUGUUAAGCUGCUGAUACUGUCGCUGAAUUUAUUCUCCUAUUUCAGAGUUUCGUUCGAUAUUUUCAGUUGUUUUUUGCUAAUAGGUAUGUUUCAACACCGUUGUAUUCAUCUUCUAUUUAAAUAAAGUCGUUGAUUUCUGGUUUGGUUUGCUGAAUGCUUGUGAUAGUAUGUCAACAUGAACUUAAAUAGACCUAUUUUAAACGAUUUAUGGAGUUAAGUACUAGAGUUUUGUUAGGUCAAGAUUUGAGGGCAAGCAUGAAGCCAACCACUGAGGAAAAGAAUUUUGGUCCCUGUUUAUUUUUAGAAGUCAAGUUCCUGUAUUUUUGAGUUUCUUUUACUGCAAAAAUAUUCCUUGUUCUACUGUUGACAUGUGAGAACAAUUGAAGUGAGUUUUGGUUGAGUCUGCUACAUCACUUGGUAGCAAAAUUGCAUUAGUUUGGUACAGCUAACAAUCCAUAGUUUCCUUAUUGUGCGCUAUGCACACUUAUGUGUAUUAGUUGGUCAAAUGGCCUAAUUUCCCUGGUCUGGUGAUUUCGCUUAAAUAUUUGGAUAAAUCUCAUGAAUUUGCUCGAACAUAGUUGUUUUAUUGAGUGCCUGUAUUCGCUCUGUUCUUUUUCUGCAAAACUAGUAGUGUUCAAUUUCAAGUUUGGCCUUAAUAAAAAUGGCAUCAGAUUGUUAGCAAAAAUAGAUUCACUUUGAGGAUUUCUACAAAAAUGGUAAUUUAACUUAGAUUUAUCAAUUGAAAAGGAUGCUAUUAGGAGCAUUGAACGAAAUUUGUCCUUUGGUUAAAGUUUUAGAACAGAACCAAGGCAUUCAUAUGAUGAACAAUCCAUAAAGUCAUGCUAUUUGGCAUUGUCUCACUGACAGCAAUAUGUAUGCAUUUAUUUGAUCUUGUACUUGCACUUCUCUUUUCACAAGACACAAUUACCAUGGCACUUCAGCCUUGCAUCCAGAUGGAUUUUUGAAUUCCCAAAGUUUUAAGUUUAUCAAGGUAAGAACCCCGUAGAAUCACAUUUGACACUAGACCUUCAUAUUUUUAUGUUGCUAUUUCUAUUUUUCAAAUAGUAUUAUCUUUUUUUGGUAAGUGUAUCAAUCUGUUGCUCUGUAUAAUUUUUCCACUCUCUACUUUGAUAGAAGUUAGGUUCUCAAAAUUUGUACCCUGCUCCUUGGUUAUUGUCUCAGUCUUUUGUUCAUUGGAAUAGUUGAGACCUAAAAUUCUUCAAUUUUGGAAUGGCCAAUAUGUAUCAGUUCAUAGAUUUCAUGCCAACUCAAAUAAAAUGCAAUUUCAAUUGUUGUAAUUGUGUUUGGGAGUAUGACUCCACUUUGGAUGGGAGUCUGCCGAUCAGGUUUGAAGAUUGAAUGAGCUUGAGGCCCAAUUUUGUUAUUCAACAAUGUGGAGUUCAUUUGGACUCACUGCCGUUCACAUGCAAGCUUCUAAAUUGGGCCUGUUAUUUUGGGCCCAUUCGCACCUCUUAUUUGAUUCAUCAGAUUCCACAAGACCAAAG
rnacentral:lncRNA from 1 species